UCUCUAGGCAAUGGAUGUCUUGGCUCCUCACACGAUGAAGAACGUGGCAUAAUGUGUUAAGUAACCGGAGUUGCAAACAUCAUGACAGGUUAAUCUUUGAAUGCAAAUUGCGCCCUUCCGGUUUCGGCCGUGUGGGCAUGGAUGCAACCAGUACUACAUAAUUUAUAA
rnacentral:rRNA from 1 species